rnacentral:lncRNA from 1 species
CAACUUACCACUGUUUCUCUCACUCUGUGAAACACAUUUGGCUUAUACUGAUAGAAAUUCCUUUGACAAUGAGAUCAGGGCUCUGCUGUGCUGCAGAAACAGCCCAUAGCCUAACAGCCCACAGGAAUUCAUUGUAAAAACUUGGGGACUGCAUCCUGCUGGGUGACCAGACAAUAAAGUCGAAUAGCCUCACUUCUUUGGUGUGCAAAAUCUGUAGGCACACACAAUUUCCACCGCUCAUUCAAUUUUCUUCUUUCAUCUGCCUGAUUUGGAAGGCACUGACUCAUUUGCAGGCGUUCACCAGUGAUGCCUGUCACUUCGAGAUGGAGACACCUCUAAGACAUGACAGAGCUACAGUUCCUGCAGCACCCACAGGAAACAGUUGUUAUCCCACAGAUAACUCCGUUAACAAGAAAUCAGCCAAAUACUGAAAUGUUUGUAGGCUUUUGUGGGAUUGGAAAUGGAGUACAGCAAAGAAUUGCUGGUUAAGCUGCACCUCAUAACAAAGUGGUCAAUAACUGAAAGCAGAGCUCUCCCCACAAACAACUUGCCUGCUUGAUUUGGAAGAUUAAGCAGAUUUGUAGGGAGUUCUCCACCAUUCCUGGACACAAUCCCAAUAACUGGACUACCGCCUGGCUGCUGUCAGCUUUUCCCCAGUCAGCAUCCGAGUGCUGCAAAUCUCAUCCUCUCAUUUCUGACUUCUCCGAAUCCCUAUACAGAGGACAUCAGAAGCAGAUUCAGCACCACAGAUUCCCAUUCUGGGAUUUAACUUUCAAUCCCUGUAUGAUUUAGGUCCUCUUUGAGUCUCAUCUGUGAAGUCCUUUGAAAAUCUGGCUCACUGCAAACCUUAAGAGCAUAUUGUGUACUACUGCCACUGGAAACCUCUCUGGGAACCCACUGGAAGCUGUUGAACACUCCUUGCACAGAUACAUUGGGCAAGCAUCUCAGCCGUGCUUACACCGCCUCUCAAAAGGAACACCAAAAUCUUACAGAUUUACUGGAGGAUACGGUCACUCUCUACUUUCUUUAAGUAAAAAUUCAACCAGUCCAUUAAGCUUGUUGGCUUCGUCUUUCUGAGUAAAUACAUAAUGCCCUCAGAGAGCCUCUUUUCUUCCAUAGCAGAAGGAUCCUCCUUGCCUCUGAGCACAUUUCUGGGUUUAAAAUAGUCCCUCAAAGGUAUUUCUUAAGUAAACCUUUCAGAGGCUUUUAUAGGGCAAGUUUCCCCCUCACCCCCCGCUUUG